rnacentral:tRNA from 3 species
AGCCCUGUGGUGUAGUGGCCAAUUGAAAAUCACAGAUUUUCAAGCUUGAGACCGCGGUUCGAAUCCGCGCAGGGCUA